GAAUAACUGGGUCCUGCUGGAUGGAACAACACAUGCCAUUUAGAAUGUAACACCAUGUUUCUGCAGUUGAAAGAAGCGUUUAAGCUCCGCUACGUCACCUGCUCAGUCACCGAAUGAGCUGCUUCUUUAGGAUCGUGGCACUGGUUGACAAAGUCGCAGAUCUCUUGACUAUUCACCAUGAAGUUAAUCCCAUCUGUGGUAAGGACCAGGAAACUGUCGUCAGCAUGGUAGAGCUGCAACCAGAAGCAAACAAAUGUGACUACAAACAAGAUCAUCCCCUCCAAAUGACUCAAUAAUUGGGAAAUUGUAUCGAUUCUGCAGGGAGUGCUCGUCUGGGUCAGAGUUCAUUGGCAAACUGAAAAUGUAGCUAAGCAUCAACACUACUUGGGAUAAACCAAACAUUUACCUAGCAGUAUCAACAAAGAGCCAGCCAGCCAGACAAAUGCUCGAUCUAAUGGCUGCCUUUAU
rnacentral:lncRNA from 1 species